rnacentral:ncRNA from 1 species
AAUCUCAAAAAGCCGUCUCAGUUCGGAUUGGGCUCUGCAACUCGAGCCCAUGAAGUUGGAAUCGCUAGUAAUCGUGGAUCAGCACGCCACGGUGAAUACGUUCCCGGGCCUUGUACACACCGCCCGUCACACCAUGGGAGUUGGUUUUACCUGAAGACGGUGCGCUAACCCGCAAGGGAGGCAGCCGGCCACGGUAGGGUCAGCGACUGGGGUGAAGUCGUAACAAGGUAGCCGUAGGGGAACCUGCGGCUGGAUCACCUCCUUU